rnacentral:rRNA from 1 species
UACGUAGGGAGCAAGCGUUAAUCGGAAUUACUGGGCGUAAAGCGUGCGCAGGCGGCUGUGCAAGACAGGUGUGAAAUCCCCGGGCUUAACCUGGGAACUGCACUUGUGACUGCAUGGCUGGAGUACGGCAGAGGGGGAUGGAAUUCCGCGUGUAGCAGUGAAAUGCGUAGAUAUGCGGAGGAACACCGAUGGCGAAGGCAAUCCCCUGGGCCUGUACUGACGCUCAUGCACGAAAGCGUGGGGAGCAAACAGG